GGUAGUAGCAAAUAUUCAAAUGAGAACUUUGAAGGCCGAAGAGGAGAAAGGUUCCAUGUGAACGGCACUUGCACAUGGGUAAGCCGAUCCUAAGGGACGGGGGAAACCCGGCAGAUAGCGCGAUCACGCGUGUCACCCGAAAGGGAAUCGGGUUAAGAUUUCCCGAGCCGGGACGUGGCGGCAGACGGCAACGUUAGGAAGUCCGGAGACGCCGGCGGGGGCCUCUGUGGCGGAACCGCCCGAAUUAUUCCAACUUAAGUGCCUAAGUCCACCUUAGAGGCUAGACCACACUUAAGUAGGAAUAAAACGUCAGUCCCUCGGAUCUAGUCCGAUAAAGCCACUUACCAGGAUCGAAUACCACUAGCU
rnacentral:ncRNA from 1 species